UAUUAAUUUAAAUUAGAUUGUAUAAUUUCGAAAUGUUUAAGCAAAAACAGAAUGGGUUGUCUUCAGUUUUGUAAACUAUACAUAAAAAUAUCUGCAUGGAACUUCAGCAGACGGACUGAAUGAGACGCAGAUUCACUCUCUGCCAGCAGAGGCAAGAUGAGGCAAGAUGAAAAGAAAAAAUACCAUCGAAACUUUUCUAAAGACAGUAGGUUCUCCUCAGACAUGCAGUGCUAUUUGCUUUAAGAAACACACACACACACACACACACACACACAUAGUAUCUGCUUGCGUGGUUAAACUGAUGACUAUCUAUGCACAACAAUUUAAAAGGCAGAAAUCACAUUGACACUUACAUAUGCCUCACCCACAAGCAACACCACACAUGUGACUAGCAUGAAGGUCAGCACUUCAAUCAUUGCACUGAGUUGCAUUUUCUGGAAAGUCUCUGAACUGUUGGUGGAGGUGGUAGUCAGGCCUGGAGAUAAUGCAACUCUUACCUGUGACAUUGAGAUUGUCAUCGGAGAGGAGAUUCGUUGGGUUAAGAUCUGCUCUUUACAGAUCCAACCGCCUCUGAUCAUCUCUGCAUACAAUAGCAUGUUACAACCCAUUCCACGAUUCUCUGUGUUCUGGAACAAUACUUUAAAAUCUUAUGACUUACUGAUCGAGAACAUCACCGAAGCAGACCUUGGUCUCUACUAUUGCUCAAGGGUUGGGAAAAAAUACAUUAAACAGAACGGAAUAAUCUUCGAGAAGGAUGAGUAUCACACUGGUGAUACUCUCUUAAACCUCACAUACGGUUCACCUGUCUCCCCCUCAGAAAGCCCCCCUGAAUUAGAUUGUGACUGCUGGCAGUGCUGGCUGAUACUGCAAACAGUGUGUCCUGCAUGUUCUCUUCUCUCUGCCAUUUUGGCUUUUGUUUGCGGCUACAGAUGCUGCCACAAGACAGUGCUGAAGGAGUCUGAAGGUCAUCAAAGUGGUUCUGAAAUGCAAAGACAGUUGAGCCAAGAACAGGAUGUCCAUACAGAAGUUUACUAUGCAUCACUGAACAUCCCCAGACGAGGAUGCAAACGGACAAAGAGCAGCCGACUGCAAAGCUCUGACUUCAGUGUAUAUGAUGGCAUAAAAAUGCACACUUAGGUAAAGGAUUAUGUACAUUCAGGUGGUCAAAUACCAAAGUUAAUCCAAGGUUUAUCAAACAUGUUUAUCAAUAUUUUUUUUUUUUUUUUUUUUUUUUUUUUUUUUUAGAAUAUAAACCGGGGUUUAAAUUAAAAAGACAACAAUGUAAAUAUUAUCCAUAAUUCAUGAUCUGGAGACUGGCAUCUAAUGUGUUGGAAUAUCUCAAACACGGAGCUAACUUCAGUCCCAAUUGUCAUUUGUAUUACAUUUGUUUGUAAUUUAAACAGUUAUUUGACUUUCAUAAUUUAAACAGUUAUUUGACUUUUCAUAGUUUUCAUAAGUGCUUUUGAAAACAGUAUUUCUGUUAUACACAAGUCAAGUGUUUUAUUUUGUAAUCCUCCAAAGAUUACUGAUGGUUUAUAUUUGUUUUCUUCUGUGCAUUACAUGGAAAAUAUUUGACAUCUUUGUUUUGCAAAUGGAACUUCAGAUGCGUGUGGUGGCUUUCAGAUCCCAUUUCACUGACCCCAUUUCAGCUGUUGACUUCCUUCUUAUCAGAUUUGCAGCUUCAGAUGUUUGCAUUAAAAUGCCUUUGAGUGGUCAAUGAAUGUUGUGUGAGAAAACAAUUCUAUAUAUAAUGAUAUAUCUUCAAGAUGAUUACAGUAGUUUAUAUUCAAAGUUUAUUACAUUCAAAGAUAUUAUCUGAAAGAACAGACACAAUAAAGAGCAUACACAAAAAAGAAAGAAUGAAUGA
ensembl:lncRNA